ACUACUGAAUGCUAAUGAUAGCGUACAGUGGGCUCCUGACCGGUAGCGUCAUGGCGAAAUGGGAUGACCAUACGUCUGAAUAAGGUGCCGAAAUGUACUAUCACUGAUACCAUAAAGGGAGUCCAUGUAUUUAGACAGCAGGUCGGUGCCCCUAAAAGCAGGUAUCCGCUAAAGAGUGUGUUAAAACUCACCUGCCGAAUACUAGGGCCCCGAAAAUGAAUGGCGCAUAUAGUACUACCGAUCUCAGACAUCAGUUCUAUUGAACUGAGAGUAGGGGGAUGUGGACAUUUUUGUGAAGGUGCAAUGUGAGUUGGACUGGAAGAAUGUCUAUUACAGAUCCUAAUUGAAGUAGCGAUUAUCCAGGCUUGUAUCCUGGGGGCUGAUGAGGAGUAGGGUUUCUGGACAACUUAAACAGAUCCAGAGUUAGUCGAUCCUAAUCUCAAUAAUGGGAGAAAGGGAGUACAGUUGAUAUUCUGUAACUGACAACAGUUCGCGGCAACGCAUACUAUUUUUCUCCGCCAAUCUUAUACCGUUGGUAGGGAUCUCUUUCCUACAUGACAGUACUAAUACCCAGGGAAACUGGUCAUCAGGCGAACUGCGGCGUUCUGCUGGCAAAACAUAGCUUCGGUUAUGUCAAUGGCUAUUGGAUUGGUCCAUGAAGCGAAAAAUAGUUUACUGUGUCACUCGUACCGAUAACCGCAUCAGGUCUUCUAGGUAAGUAGCCUAUGGCCAUUGAGGCAUGAUAGUUCAGGGAAUUCGGCCAAUUAGAGCUGUAACUUCGGGAUAAAGCUUGGCUCUGAUGAAAAUCAGAACCGAUUGUUACGCGGAGAGCCCAACUGUUUAAUAAAAACGUAGUGUCGCGCUGUGGUAGUAUAGCCAGUGAACGCGACAUGAAUCCUGCUCAGUGCUGUGUCUGUUAAUAUGGUUCAAGCCAACGAAGCACCGGUAAAUAGCUGGGGUAACUAUGACUCUUAUCAAAGUAGCGAAAUACCUCGUCACUUAAUUAGUGACCUGCAUGAACGGAGCUAU
rfam:Trichomonas vaginalis G3, whole genome shotgun sequence.